ensembl:lncRNA
GCCUGGUGUCCCCCGACGAACUUUGACCUCUGACCUGGAGCUGGUUGGAGGGCAUUGGGGUCGGGAGGGCCGGAGCAGCCAGGAGGAGGACGAGGAGGAGGGGGGAGGCGAAGGGAAGCAUGGCUGUGCUCGGACCGGUAGAGAGCUGAGGAGCGGAUUGUUUCCAGCAGGCAGGUGGAGGAGGUGACGCUGCAGGUGGAGGAGGUGGAGCUGCAGGUGGAGGAGAUCUCCGUUCGGUGGCUCAGAUCCCACACAGCUUCACAUCUGAUGAACUCAGCCACACCAAUGGGAAUAAAUCAAGAGAGAAGUAGAAUUAUUUUCUCAUAGACUUCUAUUGGAGCAGAGGAGUCGCCCCCCGCUGGGCAACGGCGUGUUGUGAGGCUGUUUGGCGGUUUGUGAUGUAAUGAUUACACGCCCCUCGUUUAGUAUCGAUGACGCAGCCAGACGAGACUUUCACACAAACAGUGAAAAGAAAAAAGCUGCUCUCUCUCGUAAAAGUUUUUUACGU